UGCGGCGGUUAUGGCGGAGGGGAAACACCCGGUCCCAUCUCGAACCCGGAAGUUAAGCCCUCCAGCGCCGAUGGUACUGCACGGGAGACUGUGUGGGAGAGUAGGACACCGCCGCAA
rnacentral:rRNA from 1 species